rnacentral:rRNA from 1 species
AACGAACGCUGGCGGCGUGCUUAACACAUGCAAGUCGAACGAGAGAUUUUUCUUCGGAAGAAUCGAAAGUGGCGCACGGGUGAGUAACGCGUAAGUAAUCUACCCCCGCAUCUGGAAUAACAAUUCGAAAGGAUUGCUAAUACCGGAUAUGUUGAUUUAUCAAGAAAGGUGGCCUCUUCAUGAAAGCUACUGUGCGGGGAGGAGCUUGCGUACCAUUAGCUAGUUGGUGGGGUAAUGGCCUACCAAGGCAACGAUGGUUAGCGGGUCUGAGAGGAUGAUCCGCCACACUGGAACUGAAACACGGACCAGACUCCUACGGGAGGCAGCAGUGAGGAAUAUUGCGCAAUGGGGGAAACCCUGACGCAGCGACGCCGCGUGGAUGAUGAAGGCUUUCGGGUCGUAAAAUCCU